ACCGAAUACAAAACAUACAAGCCAAUAAAAACAAAGGUUUACAUUCAGACACUCCCAUACAGUGUACAAAAUCCCUCCCCUCUGCCUGUGAUACAAUUAACGAAGACAAUGGCCUAACUCAAUUAACUCUAAGCAGAAAAAACAUAGAUUUUUACAAAGUCUGGAAAACACCCCAUAUCCCCAUAAAAGUCACAUCCCCUGAUAGCCCUGAUCUGGGUGAACAGGAAUUUUCUGGAAGUCAUAGUUUCGACCGACCGCAAGCAUGGCCCCAUGCCUAAAACAGUUCCAUAGAAUCAGGGCUAACG